rnacentral:rRNA from 1 species
CGCGUGUAGGAUGAAGGCCUUCGGGUCGUAAACUACUGUCGCCCGUGAAGAAAUGGUCGUGGGCUAAUAUUCCACGAUCUUGACGUUAGCGGGAGAGGAAGCUACGGCUAACUACGUGCCAGCAGCCGCGGUAAGACGUAGGUAGCGAGCGUUGUUCGGAAUCACUGGGCUUAAAGGGCGCGUAGGCGGUACCGUGUGUCGGGUGUGAAAUCCCCUUGCUCAACGAGGGAAUUGUGCCCGAAACUACGGUUCUGGAGUGCAGAAGAGGUCAGCGGAAUUCCUGGUGGAGCGGUGAAAUGCUUAGAUAUCAGGAGGAACACCGGUGGCGUAGGCGGCUGACUGGUCUGCAACUGACGCUGUGGCGCGAAAGCCAGGGGAGCGAACGGGAUUAGAUACCCCGGUAGUCCUGGCCCUAAACGAUGGGCACUAAGUAGAGGGAAGACCGAUCUUUUCUCUGCCGGAGCGAAAGUAUUAAGUGCCCCGCCUGGGGAGUACGAUCGCAAGGUUGAAACUCAAAGGAAUUGACGGG